rnacentral:rRNA from 1 species
CCCUUAGAUGUUCUGGGCCGCACGCGCGCUACACUGUUCGACGCAGCGAGUCUUAACCUUGACCGAAAGGUUUGGGUAAUCUUCAGCAAAGUCGAACGUGAUGGGGAUCGAUCAUUGCAAUUAUUGAUCGUGAACGAGGAAUUCCUAGUAAGUGCAAGUCAUCAGCUUGCGCUGAUUACGUCCCUGCCCUUUGUACACACCGCCCGUCGCUACUACCGAUUGAAUGGUUUAGUGAGAUCUCUGGAUUGACGCUGGCUAGGGGGCGACCCUUGGCCAGUCUGUUGAGAAACUGCUCAAACUUGAUCAUUUAGAGGAAGUAAAAGUCGUAACA